GCAACUACCAUAAGAGAGUUCAGGGUUGAGCUAGUCAGGGGCGAGGUCAGUUGUUGAUAACCGGUUGGUUCAAAUAUUCUGCGCUUCUAGUCCCAGCUAGUCUACGCUUAGUGCCAAUACAUGUAUUAACAAAGGUCUACCAACUGGUGUGCAGUCUAACAGUGAGAUGGCCCCUGACGGAAGGACAAUUGACCCGACCGAUAGAGAGAUGAACCACCUCUCCCAAGUUCAUAUCCAGCAUCCUAAUACCCUGUGAGCAAAUGGUUCCACUGAAAUUUAUUCCAGUAACUCUAUAUAGCUACCGGCUGUCACCCCCAUUCAAGUUAAGGCCUUCCUGAGAACUUGGGAUUUGACUAUGUUGACACACAAGACGAAUGAUGGCGCACAACAACAGAAUUUAACCCAAGUAAGGGAUCAUAAUGUCUGCACUGAUUUAUUCCUAUUGUAGAAACUUGCGUUUAUAAUAGAAUUGUUGCAGUU